GUCUUCAUCCAUUCCACCUUGAACACACCCAAUUUCCUCGAAUCUCAGAAGCUAAGCAGGGUUGGGGCCUGGUUAGUAUUCGAACGGAGACA
rnacentral:rRNA from 1 species